UACGGGGGGGGUAAGCGUUGUUCGGAAUUACUGGGCGUAAAGGGCUCGUAGGCGGCCAACUAAGUCAUACGUGAAAUCCCUCAGCUUAACUGGGGAACUGCGUGUGAUACUGGAUGGCUUGGAUUUGGGAGAGGGAUGCGGAAUUCCAGGUGUAGCGGUGAAAUGCGUAGAUAUCAGGAGGAACACCUGUGGCGAAAGCGGCUCACUGGACCACAACUGACGCUGAGGCGCGAAAGCUAGGGGAGCAAACAGG
rnacentral:rRNA from 1 species